rnacentral:rRNA from 1 species
GACGAACGCUGGCGGCGUGCUUAACACAUGCAAGUCGAACGAAGUGGCGAACGGGUGAGUAACGCGUAAUCAACUGCCUAUUAGAGGGGGAUAACUAUUGGAAACGAUAGCUAAUACCGCAUACUAGUAGAUGGACCUGCGUUGUAUUAGCUAGUAGGUAGGGUAAUGGCCUACCUAGGCGACGAUACCAAGCCGACCUGAGAGGGUGAUCGGCCAACCUUGGACUGAGACACGGCCCAGACUCCUACGGGAGGCAGCCGUAGGGAAACUUCCGCAAUGGGGGGAACCCUGACCGGGCAUCGCCGCGUGAGUGAAGAAGGUUUUCGGAUCGUAAAGCUCUGUUGUUAAGGAAGCGGUACUUAACCAGAAAGGGACGGCUAACUACGUGCCAGCAGCCGCGGUAAUAC